UACGUAGGGGGCAAGCGUUGUCCGGAAUCAUUGGGCGUAAAGCGCGUGUAGGCGGCUCGAUAAGUCCGUUCUGAAAGUCCAGGGCUCAACCCUGGGAUGCGGAUGGAUACUGUCGAGCUCGAGUCCGGAAGAGGCGAGUGGAAUUCCUGGUGUAGCGGUGAAAUGCGCAGAUAUCAGGAGGAACACCAAUGGCGAAGGCAGCUCGCUGGGACGUGACUGACGCUGAGACGCGAAAGCAUGGGGAGCAAACAGG
rnacentral:rRNA from 1 species